GACGGAGGGUGCUAGCGUUGUUCGGAAUCACUGGGCGUAAAGGGCGCGUAGGCGGCCUGGAAAGUCAGAUGUGAAAGCCCGGGGCCCAACCCCGGAAUUGCAUUUGAGACUCCCUCGCUCGAGGUCCUGAGAGGAGGGUGGAAUACCCAGUGUAGUGGUGAAAUUCGUAGAUAUUGGGAGGAACACCAGUGGCGGACGCGGCCAUCUGGUUGGUAACUGACGCUGAGACGCGAAGGCGUGGGGAGCAAACAGG
rnacentral:rRNA from 1 species